UACGUAGGCAGCGAGCGUUGUUCGGAGUUACUGGGCGUAAAGGGUGCGUAGGCGGUUGUUUAAGUUUGGUGUGAAAUCUCCCCGGCUCAACUGGGAGGGUGCGCCGAAUACUGAAUGACUAGAGUGCGGGAGAGGAUAGUGGAAUUCCUGGUGUAGCGGUGAAAUGCGUAGAUAUCAGGAGGAACACCGGUGGUGUAGACGGCUAUCUGGACCGUAACUGACGCUGAGGCACGAAAGCGUGGGUAGCAAACAGG
rnacentral:rRNA from 1 species